AGUCGCGAGCAGCGGAGAAAUUUUGGCUUUGUCAGACGUGAAAUGAUUUCAGUCAGGUUUUGUGCGUAAAAGAGAGAAGCGACACUGAUUUGGCUUGAAGGCGCAAGUUUAAAUAACAUUUAAUUAUUCUCCACCAACAAGUAAUGAAUACGACGAUAGAAUAAAUAAUGGGAGUGACAUUAUACGAUUGUUAUGAAGCAGUAAUGAGAGAUCCACAAAUGUAAGUGCGUAGUUCACCAUCAUCGACUUAAAGAGGACGGUUUAAACCCAAAAUCAAUAAUACUUAAUCAGAUUAUUGUUUGGAAAGUUAGUGCGUAUUUUUAGAACUCAAGCGCCUUAUCUUCUUAUCUUGAGAUAAUGUAGCAGAUCAUCUAGGAGAAUUAAAGUUAGUUAUUCUAUAUAAUAAUAUUUUUCUCCAAAUACAAGGGGUUAACUACACACCUUGAUGAAGUCAUAAUAUAAAAUUUAAAAACGUUAGAGAUUUUACUAAAAACUAUCAUCUUAAAAUUAUCACUAGAAGUGCAGCCUCAGAGUUCUUAAAACCAGUUAAGACAAUAUUAAAGUAGAUGAGAAUCUUCUCCAUUCUAGUACCAAAGAUUUGAAAUAAAAUAAUAAGCGAAUUUUAGGUUAUCGAGGGUAUUUGUUCAAUUUGGAAAAUACUAAUACCGAAAUAGAGAGUUGAAAGACACAAAAGACAAGAAUCAAAUACCUUAAUAUGCGAGUACCUACCGACCUAUGAGCUUUAACCCUUUAAGAGGUUCAAUAUUAUCUUGGGAUAUAUUGAAAAUAUAGAAUUAUAUGGCAUUUGUCAGUAACAGAAAAUACUUAAUACUCUAACUGUGGCAACAUUGCAUGUUUCUCAACACUUUCACACUCCAAAUAGUUAAACAAAAACUAACUUACGGAAGAACAAUGGGUAAUACAUUGUAUAGAUUUCUUCUUAGAAUUGGUUUCUCACGUUAUAGAGAAUUCAAGAUAAAAUGCGUAGAGAUCUCAAUCUUCUAUAUUUAUAUACAAAUUGAAGAACUUUGCUCAUCAUUUUGUAUUUGUUUUCAAAGCGAGAGGUGAUUAAUUAUUUAGCAAAAAUCUAUUAAUUAUACUACUUCCGCAUUUGUGCAAAUAAUUAUAAAAAAAUAUUUAUGUACAAUUUUAAUUAAUGGAUACAUAAGUUUAUGUACCAUAUGAACACGCCUAAAGGUAAAAUACAAAUACAAGGAAGUAUACAUAAACCUUCACUCGAUAUUCAAAAUAUCCAAAAAUUAUUUUAUGUGGUUUAAGAAUUCAGCUAUUUUCAAAGAAUAGGGAAAUUAUGGACACUACUAAAAAAAUUUCUCAGAUUCCCGGCUUCCACAGCGGGUACUGCAUCGAAAACUUUCAGAGCUGGGGCACUUUCGUCCAUUCGAACAACAUGACCUAGCCAGCGUAGCCGCUGUCUUGUUAUUCGCUGGACUAUGUCAAUGUCGUCGUAUAGAUCGUACAGCUCAUCGUUCCAUCGUCUUCGGUAUUCGCCGUUGCCAAUGUUUAAGGAACCAUAAAUCUUCCAAAACCUUUCUCUCGAAAACUCCUAGUGCCGUGUCUUCGGAUGUUGACACCAUCCAUGCUUCUACACCAUAAAGUAGGACGGUAGUGAUGAGGGACUUGUAGAGUUUAGUUUUUGUUUGUCGAGAGAGGAUUUUCUUUUAAAUUGCCUACUCAGUCCAUAGUCCAUAGUAAGACAACCACUACCUUUUUUAUAGAGCGAGAUCUGGACGUAAGAUUGUCGUUGGAGGACGUUUUUAAAUGUCACCUUCGGUAUCAAUAUAAAUAUUAUAAGAGACCAGGUUCCUGGUGUGAGGAGACAGCAUGCGUUGUUCUAUUAACGCCUCAAAAUACCAGAACAUAAUUAUAACAUAGAGAUAGGGUAGCUACAAAAGUAGACCGAUAGGAACAGCAAACGACGCCAUUGGCCGCCUCGGUCGUGCCAUUUGAUGCCGUUAGACUAUUUCCUGGUGGGGCUACGUCAAGUCAAUGGUGUAUGCCAACAAACCAGCGACGAUUGAUGUACUUCGACGAUUAUCGAACGUGAAUUGCAGCAGUAUCGGCCGAUUAAUGCUUGAAAACAGUCGAAAAUUUGGUUCAGGGUCUGGACUUUUGCAAGUGUACCCGUUUUUAUACAAGUUUGUAGUGAAGUUGCUUGCAGUUAGAAAUUCCUUGGUGCUUCGAGUGAAUUUUGGAAUUCUGGCAAUCAUCUAUCGAAACGGAAGCCGUAACUUAUAUCCAAAUGGAUUUCGAGGAGCUAGUCUUACGACUCAUAAUCACGACACUAACUAACCGCAUAUUAUUAACUAAUUAGAGUGUCCUGUUAUCUAUAAACAACGAAAGAGUGAUGUUAAUCUGAAGCGACACAAAUCAGUUAUAAUUUAUUUUUUUAUCGAAGCGCCUCCUUAAAUAGCUUAGCAAAUGUUUUGAAACCAAAAUUUGGAAACCAGUUUAAUUCAUACAUGAGUGAAACUGUUAAUUUAUAUUUUCUAGUAAACAAAUUUUAAUAUUUCUGCAUUUCCAGCUGCAGUUGACUAACUAAAUGAGCUGAUUAUCAGAUAACCGCCAGGCAGACAAAAAGACCACAGUGAUCUCAUCAGACCCCUCUCAUCUCAACUAUUAUAACUACUCCGGUAAUCCGGCUAAGACAGACAAUCACGUAGACGAAAUGAAAUUGGCGAAAUUCUCGUUUUGCAAGCGGUUUUUGCCUAAUGAAUUGCCAAAUUCACGAAUCGGCACAAUGUCAUAUUUGCAUAUUGAAAAGUCGGUGCUACAAUGGACUACGAUGAUAUAUGACAAAUGUAUUUUGAUUUAUGUGCAGAUUUGUUGAGGCGACAUCAGAUUAAAACACAAAAAGCUGUCAAAGCACCGACUGAAUGGUGGUUGGAAAUUCGCAACGAAUGUUGUUGGCGGUAGUGGGCUUCACCACCCUGCUCGCGGCAUUGCAUUUUGCAUUGCGGCUCAGUCUAAGCGAGAGAUCGAAUGUUAUGCGACUACAUUGAGUGAGUGCGUUUGUUGUAUAAUUAAUAAGUUUUUUUUAUAAACAAUUAAAUUGUCAAAGCUAUGCUGCAGAAAGCACCGUUAAAUAUGCAAAGAUUAACGCACAAUAACAACAAAAGACACUGUAGACAAUUGGUAAGAGGAGGAGGAGGCGUGUUGGGGUUUUGGAAGUGUGAUUAAGAAAAAUAUUAGACAACAACAACAUCAACAUACAUCCAUCAAUCUGAUUAGUUGAAUAUGAAAGAUGCGUUGUGCCGAUGUACAUAUGUUAGCUGACUCAUAACAAGACAAGCUCAGGCGUUGAAUGAGCAUGCGCGCCAACGGCUUAUUACCACUCAUAAUUAAGCUUCAAUUAAUCAGAAAGAAAAUCAAAUGUCAGUGAUGGCAUAAAAUAUGUUUAAUUUUUGUUUUUGUUGUAUAAACAAAACAUAGUUAUUAACUUUAACUUUUUGGGCGUUUUAGUAUAUAUUAUUUGAACAAAAAAAAAAAGAAGAAAUAUUUUUAGAUUGCGUUUUACGCGCUUGAUGCGCCAAAGCCGUUAGUCAAAUUGCAAUGAGGAACCAGUAGCUCAUCUGCGUAAUCAUGGUGGCUAUAAAAAGCACAAUCAGCUGUAGCCAAAUCAUCAGUUAAACAGCGAACAACCAACAGCAAGUGGUUUUGUGUUGAUACAACUAGCAAACUAAACAAACAAUAAGUCAGAAAAUGCGUCUAUUUUUGGUACUCUGCUGCACUUUAGUUGCCAUCGCCAAUGGCAAGCCACAAGGAUACAAUUAUGGUACUGGCAUCUCAGGUGGCAACGCACAGGGCGGCUCCUACCAUAGUGGCAGCAGCAGUUUUAGCGGUGGUCUGAGCGGACUCGGUGGCUUGAGCGGCGGCGGCAGUGGCUUCGGAGGCUUUGGUAGUGCCUCCAGCAGCGGACCAAGCUUCGGUGGUUUCCACGGCGGUAGCAGUGGCGGUUUCAGCAGCGGUGGCAGCAUUGGUCACGGAUUCGGUAGCGGUAUUGGUGGCGGCAGUGGUAUCGGUGGUGGCAACUUCGGCGUCGGCUCCGGUGGUUUCGGCAGCGGUGUUGGUGGUGGAUUUGGUGGUUAUAACGGACAACAACAACAAACUGGCGUCUUUGAAGCCCCACUUGUACACAAACAAUUCAUUACCGUUUCGGCACCUGAAGAUCAUGAAUCUUUGGAGAAAACCAAACAUUUCGUUAUUGGACGCCCACAAAAGAAUUAUCGCGUCGUCUUCAUUAAGGCACCAUCAUCCAGCUCGGCUAAUGUCAAACUAUCCGCGGAAUAUGCACCACAAGAGGAGAAGACCGUUAUUUAUGUGUUGUCCAAGAAGGACUCAUCACUCGAAGUCAACGAUAUUGCCACACCAGCACCAACAGUGCCCGCCAAACCCGAAGUAUUCUUUAUCAAAUACAAAACCGAAGAGGAAGCGCAUCACGCACAACAACAAAUUCAAGCCGAAUACGACAGAAUCGAGGGUACCUCCGAACACACCGAUGGCGGCAUUGGUCAACAGCAGUCGGUGGUUGGCAUUUUGGAUGGCGGUGCUGGUCAAGCUGGUGGAAAUGGCGGCGCUGGUAUUGGUGGCGGUGUUGGCAUUGGUGGCGGUAACUUUGUGGGUUCUUCUAGCUCUAACUUUGCCGUUAGCCAAAGCAGUUCAAGUGGCGCUAAAUCUUCCACCUACUUGCCACCAGCCAAAGCAGUCUAAGAAUAGGCAAUUUAGCAUUUUUCAAUUUUAAUGUUUGUUAUGACGACUUUUUUUAUAUACCUCAAAAGCAAUUUAAGUAACUACUGUUAACUGUUAAAAAACAGCGAAGAAAUAUUUUUUUAAUAAAAACCGCAAACAAACGAA